GUGAAGACAUGGCCGAGAGGCUCCCAUGGUCCUAUUUCUUAUUAUGUUUGUGAGCCUUUUAUGAGAGUCAAGAUAGCCACAUAAGGCUGGACCAGGCCCUGCAGCUGGAGAUGGAAGAUGGUGUUUCCUUGAGAAGAUUACCAUAAAGAAGAGAGACGAGAGUCAUCACUACAGCACAGGUGAACACAAUCGACCAGCCAAGGUGAUUCACACACUUCAGCUUGAAGCUGAUCUGCCACUUGUGUCUUCUUGUCUCUAUUGAAUUAAGUUCCUGAGACCUAAUCCUUCCCAUCACUAGUAUCGGUGCUUUUAUUUUUGUUUUCUACUUAGUUGGAUAACAUAGUGAAGGAAAAUGUGCUAAUAUAAUAGAAAUAAUUGCAUUAAUAAGCCUGGUAAACAGGCAGAGACAGUGGGAGCCAUGGCCAGAGGCAAGCUGCUGGCAGCCAGGCAGUACCACCAUACAAAAGCUCACAAAUUUCUUUCAAGAAAUGCCAUACGGCUGGGCAUGGUGGCUCAUGCCUGUAAUCCCAACGCUUCGGGAGGCCUAGAUGGGUAGAUCACUUGAGGUCAGGAGUUCAAGACCAGCCUGGGCAAUAUGGUGAAACCCCCCGUCUCUACUAAAAAUACAAAAAUUAGUCAGGCAUGGUGGUGCAUGCCUGUAAUCCCAGCUACUCAGGAGGCUGAGGCAGAAGAAUCGCUUGAACCUAAGAGGCAGAAGUUGCAGUGAGCCGAGAUCAUGCCACUGCACUCCAGCCUGGGUGACAGAGUGAGAGUCCAUCUCAAAAAAAAAAAAAAAAAAGAGAGAGUUCAUAAUGUCUGCGUGUGAAGGUGUAGGCUAUAUGACAGCUAAAUAUAUAACAGUGAGGACCAUCUGGCUUCAAUUUACAGAUUUAUUUAUGUAAAAACUCUCUUCUAUUUCUUCACCUUAAAGAAACAUGAAUAAAAUAUCCAACGCUCUCACUGGUGCAAUUCCUGAGAGAUUCCUUUGUCGUAUUGGGAUCUGUCAAUGGGUAGAUAAGGAGAAACAAAGGAAGGGAUAGAAGUGACACAGAGAGAGAGAGAGAAGGUAAAAAAUAAAGGGAGAAGCAGAAAAAAUCUUUUUAAAAACCUAUAAUUAAUAUACUUUGAAUGCUAAGGUAUUGCCUUAAUGAAAUGAGACCAGGAAAUUGUGAAAAAACAAUAACCAGAGAACAAAAAGGAGCUCUUGGAAAUAAAAAUAAAGCAGAAAAAAA
rnacentral:lncRNA from 1 species